GGGGAUAUAGCUCAGUUGGUAGAGUGCUUGCCUUGCAUGCAGGAAGGCCCUGGGUUCAAUUCCCACCACUUCCC
rnacentral:tRNA from 1 species